GAUGAAGGACGUAGCGAAAUGCGAUAAGUAAUGUGAAUUGCAGAAUUCAGUGAAUCAUCGAAUCUUUGAACGCACAUUGCGCCCCUUGGUAUUCCGGGGGGCAUGCCUGUUCGAGCGUCAUUUCAACCCUCAAGCUCUGCUUGGUAUUGGGCACCGUCCUUUGCGGGCGCGCCUCAAAGACCUCGGCGGUGGCGUCUUGCCUCAAGCGUAGUAGAAUACACCUCGCUUCGGAGCGUAAGGCGUCGCCCGCCGGACGAACCUUCUGAACUUUUCUCAAGGUUGACCUCGGAUCAGGUAGGGAUACCCGCUGAACUUAAGCAUAUCAAUAAGCGGAGGA
rnacentral:misc_RNA from 1 species